rnacentral:rRNA from 1 species
GACGAACGCUGGCGGCGUGCUUAACACAUGCAAGUCGAACGGAAAGGCCCUGCUUUUGUGGGGUGCUCGAGUGGCGAACGGGUGAGUAACACGUGAGUAACCUGCCCUUGACUUUGGGAUAACUUCAGGAAACUGGGGCUAAUACCGGAUAGGAGCUCCUGCUGCAUGGUGGGGGUUGGAAAGUUUCGGCGGUUUGGGAUGGACUCGCGGCUUAUCAGCUUGUUGGUGGGGUAGUGGCUUACCAAGGCUUUGACGGGUAGCCGGCCUGGGAGGGUGACCGGCCACAUUGGGACUGAGAUACGGCCCAGACUCCUACGGGAGGCAGCAGUGGGGAAUAUUGCACAAUGGGCGGAAGCCUGAUGCAGCAACGCCGCGUGCGGGAUGACGGCCUUCGGGUUGUAAACCGCUUUCGCCGGUGACGAAGCGUGAGUGACGGUAAUGGGUAAAGAAGCACCGGCUAACUACGUG